UCCAGACUCCUACGGGAGGCAGCAGUGGGGAAUAUUGCACAAUGGGGGAAACCCUGAUGCAGCGACGCCGCGUGAGUGAAGAAGUAUUUCGGUAUGUAAAGCUCUAUCAGCAGGGAAGAAAAUGACGGUACCUGACUAAGAAGCCCCGGCUAACUACGUGCCAGCAGCCGCGGUAAUACGUAGGGGGCAAGCGUUAUCCGGAUUUACUGGGUGUAAAGGGAGCGUAGACGGCAUGGCAAGUCAGAUGUGAAAGCCCGGGGCUCAACCCCGGGACUGCAUUUGAAACUGUCAGGCUGGAGUGCAGGAGAGGUAAGUGGAAUUCCUAGUGUAGCGGUGAAAUGCGUAGAUAUCAGGAGGAACACCGGUGGCGAAGGCGGCCUGCUGGACUGCGACUGACGUUGAGGCCCGAAAGCGUGGGGAGCAAACAGGAUUAGAUACCCUCGUACA
rnacentral:rRNA from 1 species